CACCGGGUGGCUAAGAAGCCUCGGGCCCAGAAGAGGCUAGGCAAAGAAAAUGCAAGGCAAUUGCACAGCAUAAAAUGAGGCAGUCGAGCAAAGGUCAGACGGUCUGGAACCGCUUCGCCAAGGAGAGGGAGCAGAAAAGCUCAGUCCUUGGCCGGCCCCACGCUGACCAUCCAGUGGGGAAGCAUAAGGAGAGGAAACCUAGUCCGCCACCGCUCGGAAUCGGGAAAGAAAAGGCUACGUCGAUCAUAGGCCCUUGAGGAAGGGCUAGGAAGACCCAGGGCAGAGCUGGCACCGUGGGCACGGAGCCCGGGGGUGGGCGAGCCGCCCAAACCUAAGGAGCCCCUAAAUCCCAAGCGGUCGCUCUAGUGCGAGCCUGGGGCUGCGGGUUCCUGUGCUCAAGGAGAGUAGGGGGAGAAGGAAAGAGGCCAGGCCAGAAGCAAACUCCCCGGACACUAACAAGGUUUCCAGAGUCUCAGAGAGCGCGGAAGCCCGACUUGGCAAUGCCCAGGAUCGGCAACGGCAGUGCCAGGCAGCGAACACGCUCAGCGCCGUGCCGGCCAGGCGCGCCUGGUAACUGCGGCGUACCGCAGGGACUCGGAGGAGGCGCAGACGGAGGGAAGGAACACCGAAGAGGCUCGAAAUAGCGUACCAGUGGCCCCAGCCCGAGGGGAGCCGCGUCACGGCACUAAGGGGAUACUUUCGGAUCUCCAAACAUGCUAUGGACUUACUUUGAGGAGCUGCAGAGUCACAAGCAUCGCUCCACGUCUAUGUAAAUCCCCGAGCCCGAGUGGGUCAGUCGCUGUUGUACUCGCAGAUGCCAGUCAGAGGAGCCGGCAAGGCUCCCUGAGUCCUGCAGCGCCAGGUCCGCUGCUGUCAGCUCUGCUCGCUGCCUCGGCGGCGAUGUUGCAACCCUUGCCUGGGAAAAUGGCUUUUUUAUGAAUGGGAGGGCAGAGAGCUACACUGCGCACGCGCGCUGCCCGCGAUUCUAUGAAUGGGUGGGCACAAGCGACCCCGUGCGCGCAUGCGCUGCGGUUUUUUUUUUUUUUUUUUUAUGAAUGGGGGGCCGGAAAAGAGCUUAACCCGUGAUUGCUGGGCCGGGUGUUGCUCCUCCAGGGGCCGUCGUUCUUUUACAAAGAGGGGUGGGAGGUUGUUUCCUUUUUUUUUUUUUUUUUUUUUUUUUUUUUUUAAUGAAUGGAGGGCGGCGGCGACUGCUGCAGCUGGCUCAGCUGCGUGGGUUGUACCCUCCUCCCAGCCUGCGAGAGGAGGAACCCAGUGA
rnacentral:lncRNA from 1 species